rnacentral:misc_RNA from 1 species
CCGCUCUUCUCGAAACUUUUAAAACCGCUGAUGGCUUCUUCAAGGAGACCUUUCCUCUCGCGCGAACCGAAACGGUUGAGGGAAAGCUUUUCAUAAGAUUAGAUAAGGACGAGGAACAACAGUGUUGGCAGCUUAGCAUAGGGUGUAGUCUUCCCGGGAAAUGGAUUCUUCAUUGGGGAGUUUCUUAUGUGGACGAUGUUGGCAGUGAAUGGGAUCAACCUCCUAAGAAUAUGAGACCUCCGGGUUCUCUUCCUAUAAAGGACUAUGCAAUAGAGACACCGUUAAAGAAAUCCUCAGAGGGAC